rnacentral:rRNA from 1 species
UACACUGAAUUCUGAAGCUUCUGGUUAAAGAGAAGAUUAUUCAAGAUUUUGUGUAAAUGUCGGCGAGCGGCGGACGGCUGAGUAACGCGUGGGAACGUACCCCAAAGUGAGGGAUAACGCAUCGAAAGGUGUGCUAAUACCGCAUAUGGUCUUCGGAUUAAAGCCUUCGGGCGCUUCGGGAACGGCCUGCGUAAGAUUAGAUAGUUGGUGGGGUAAUGGCCUACCAAGUCAACGAUCUUUAACUGGUUUGAGAGGAUGAUCAGUCAGACUGGAACUGAGACACGGUCCAGACUCCUACGGGAGGCAGCAGUGAGGAAUCUUCCACAAUGGGCGAAAGCCUGAUGGAGCAACGCCGCGUGCAGGAUGAAGGCCUUCGGGUUGUAAACUGCUUUUAUAAGUGAGGAAUAUGACAGUAACUUAUGAAUAAGGAUCGGCUAACUACGUGCCAGCAGCCGCGGUCAUACGUAGGAUCCGAGCGUUAUCCGGAGUGACUGGGCGUAAAGAGUUGCGUAGGUGGUUUAAUAAGCGAAUAGUGAAAUCUGGUGGCUCAACCAUUCAGACUAUUAUUCGAACUGUUAAACUCGAGAGCAGAAGAGGUAGCUGGAAUUUCUAGUGUAGGAGUGAAUCCGUAGAUAUUAGAAGGAACACCGAUGGCGUAGGCAGGCUACUGGGCUGUUUCUGACACUGAGGCACG